rnacentral:rRNA from 1 species
UACAGGGGGUGCAAACGUUGCUCGGAAUCAUUGGGCGUAAAGCGCACGUAGGCGGUCUGUUAUGUCGGAUGUGAAAGCCCUCGGCUUAACUGAGGAAGUGCAUCCGAAACUGGCAGGCUAGAGUACUAAAGAGGGUCGCGGAAUUCCCGGUGUAGAGGUGAAAUUCGAUAGAUAUCGGGAGGAACACCGGUGGCGAAGGCGGCGACCUGGGUAGAUACGUGACGCUGA